CCAUAGCCAUUUCUAACUACAAUUGAUGCUGGAAAAUGAGGAGGUGUUGUUUUGGUUUGAUUUUAGCUAGGCACAAUCGUUCUGUUUGUAGAGAGGAAGGGGAGAGUGAUGAUUGAGAAGGCAGCUAGCACUGUCUGCCACAGAUUAAUGCAGAGUGCAUCUUCCAACUCAAGAAGUGAGCUGCUUGACUGGGUUGCUAAAGAGAGAAAUUCUCCUUACCUGACCACCUUACUGGAUAGGCUGAUUGGGGAUAAGAGAGGAGAGAGUCAAGUUGAGGACCAUGAGGCGCCACUGUGGGGAGAUGAAUACCAGCCAUCAGCAGCCUCCGCCUCUGCCAGCAAGUCAAGGGGUGAGCGAGCAGCCACUGAGAAUCACAGGUGCAGAGUCACCAGGCAGUGGUUGCACUUUCCAGACCCCUUUCCGCUCAAUGCCCACAUUCUUUCUACACUGGACGCUAAAUUUGAUCCCAGACUGUCAUUUGUGAUGGCAUGAGGGGUCAUUGCAGCUCUGGAGACACUGAAUCAAUACCAGAGAGGACAAGGGGUCUUGAGAAGAAGCAUCGGGAAUUAGAAUCUAAUAUACAAGAGGAUCACGAAAUGCAGUAAGAGCACUGGGGCUGCAGGCUGUGGAAUCCUGAGACAAGAGAAGAGGAAACCAAGGAGGGCCGGUCAGAAAGUUGAUCUGAGACUUUACAGAGUUCCUGAGGAAUAAAGUCGAAGGAGCCCAGACCUUUCUGGACCUUUGGACGCUCCGGCAGCUAUGCAGAUAGAAGGUGUGUUCUCCUCCCCGGGCCCCUUGGCUGACAGCCAUGAUGAUAGCCGAUUCCCUUCCUUCUGAGCAACAGGGCGUCCAGUUCUCACUGCAGACUCCACCCUGCUUCAUCUACAUCUUGCUGUCCUCCAGUUCCUGCACCUCUAUGGAGCCCUUUUCAGCGUUCCCAGGUUGUCAGACGCCUCUCUGAGGGCCCUGCCCCUGGUACCGUGCCUCUAUUAGAACCUGGCUCACCGUGUCUGGCGAGGCUUUGCUCUGCUCCUCAGUGGGGCACUAGAUGGUGGAACCCUGGCGAACCAGAACUGUGCCACAGUCUUCUCUCUGUCCGUCCUCACACCUCAUAUGGAGCGUGGCAUAAACUAGGCACCAUUUGUUUGUUAAAUAAAAACAAAAUUCUUUCUCCUCAUUUCCCAUGAAAGUUGCAAUCUAAACCAGCAUAAUUAAG
rnacentral:lncRNA from 1 species